rnacentral:rRNA from 1 species
UACGUAGGUGGCAAGCGUUGUCCGGAUUUACUGGGUGUAAAGGGCGUGUAGACGGGACUUAAAGUCAGAUGUGAAAUACCGCAGCUUAACUGCGGGGCUGCAUUUGAAACUUAAGUUCUUGAGUGCAGGAGAGGAAAGCGGAAUUCCUAGUGUAGCGGUGAAAUGCGUAGAUAUUAGGAGGAACACCGGUGGCGAAGGCGGCUUUCUGGACUGUAACUGACGUUGAGGCGCGAAAGCGUGGGUAGCAAACAGGAUUAGAUACCCUGGUAGUCCACGCUGUAAACGAUGGAUACUAGGUGUGGGGGGUAUCGACCCCUUCCGUGCCGGAGUUAACACAAUAAGUAUCCCACCUGGGGAGUACGGCCGCAAGGUUGAA